AGGCCAUAUAAACCCAAGCACAGAGCUAAGAGGCUAGUUUACCCCAGAUUUCUACAACUACAGGAGCUAUUCCAUAGCCUCUCAUGAACUCCUGGAAACUGCAAACAGUUUUGGCAUCUGCAGAUAUGAGCAGAUCUAGGAUUUUGAAAAGCUCUGAAGGAGCAUAUUCUCCGUUCAGUCUGAUACCCCCUGGCUGUUGGGGCUGAGCGGCGCCAAACACGCUCCCUCGACACCCCUGCCUGAUGCUCCCUGGGCGGCCCUGCGGGCGAGGAGCCGGCCCAGCCUCUUCCUUCUCCUGCCACAGCAAGAUGCUGCCUGCCUCGAAGAAACUUGUCAGGCCGGUGCGGGGCAGGCUGGGGCGCUGGAGAGGUUGAGAAGAGUCCGGGACGAGCGGCCGCGGAGUUUCCUGUGUCCUUUACCGGUUUCCCUCCCGCAGACAGGACAGACGGGUCCCGCUGCCCUCGCGCCCCUUGUACCCACAGGGCAGCAGCCCGCUGGGGGAGCC